rnacentral:rRNA from 1 species
GAUGAACGCUGGCGGCGUGCUUAACACAUGCAAGUCGAACGAAGCAUUUGCGACAGAUUUUUUCGGAAUGAAGUUGCUUAUGACUGAGUGGCGGACGGGUGAGUAACGCGUGGGUAACCUGCCUUGUACUGGGGGAUAGCAGCUGGAAACGGCUGGUAAUACCGCAUAGGCGCACAAUGUUGCAUGACAUGGUGUGAAAAACUCAGGUGGUAUAAGAUGGACCCGCGUCUGAUUAGCUAGUUGGUGAGAUAACAGCCCACCAAGGCGACGAUCAGUAGCCGACCUGAGAGGGUGACCGGCCACAUUGGGACUGAGACACGGCCCAGACUCCUACGGGAGGCAGCAGUGGGGAAUAUUGCACAAUGGAGGAAACUCUGAUGCAGCGACGCCGCGUGAGUGAAGAAGUAAUUCGUUAUGUAAAGCUCUAUCAGCAGGGAAGAUAGUGACGGUACCUGACGAAGAAGCACCGGCUAAAUACGUG